rnacentral:rRNA from 1 species
GAUGAACGCUGGCGGCGUGCCUAAUACAUGCAAGUCGAGCGAACGGACGAGAAGCUUGCUUCUCUGAUGUUAGCGGCGGACGGGUGAGUAACACGUGGAUAACCUACCUAUAAGACUGGGAUAACUUCGGGAAACCGGAGCUAAUACCGGAUAAUAUUUUGAACCGCAUGGUUCAAAAGUGAAAGACGGUCUUGCUGUCACUUAUAGAUGGAUCCGCGCUGCAUUAGCUAGUUGGUAAGGUAACGGCUUACCAAGGCAACGAUGCAUAGCCGACCUGAGAGGAUGAUCGGCCACACUGGAACUGAGACACGGUCCAGACUCCUACGGGAGGCAGCAGUAGGGAAUAUUGGGCAAUGGGCGAAAGCCUGAUGGAGCCACGCCGCGUGAGUGAUGAAGGCCUUCGGGUCGUAAAGCCCUGUUAUUAGGGAAGAAAAUCUGUGGAUGUAAAUGUCGAUGUCCUGACGGUACCUAAUCAGUAAGCCCCGGCUAACUACGUG